UACGGAGGGGGCUAUCGUUGUUCGGAAUUACUGGGCGUAAAGCGCACGUAGGCGGCUUGCCAAGUCAGGUGUGAAAGCCUUGGGCUCAACCCCAGAAGUGCACUUGAAACUGGCGAGCUUGAAUGUCGGAGAGGGCAGUGGAAUUCCGAGUGUAGAGGUGAAAUUCGUAGAUAUUCGGAGGAACACCAGUGGCGAAGGCGACUGCCUGGACGAACAUUGACGCUGAGGUGCGAAAGCGUGGGGAGCAAACAGG
rnacentral:rRNA from 1 species